GGCAAUAUAGCUUAGCGGUAGAACACUUGCCUAGCAUGCAAGUAGCCCUGGGUUCAUUCUCCAGCACUCCCA
rnacentral:tRNA from 1 species